rnacentral:rRNA from 1 species
UGGGUAGCUAUGUGCGGAAGGGAUAAGUGCUGAAAGCAUCUAAGCAUGAAGCCCCCCUCAAGAUGAGAUUUCCCAUAGCGUAAGCUAGUAAGAUCCCUGAAAGAUGAUCAGGUUGAUAGGUUCGAGGUGGAAGCAUGGUGACAUGUGGAGCUGACGAAUACUAAUAGAUCGAGGACUUAACCA